rnacentral:rRNA from 1 species
UUGACGGGGGCCCGCACAAGCGGUGAGCAUGUGGUUUAAUUCGAUGCAACGCGAAGAACCUUACCUGGACUUGACAUCCCGGGAAUCUCCUGGAAACAGGAGAGUGCCUUUCGGGGAACCCGGUGACAGGUGCUGCAUGGCUGUCGUCAGCUCGUGUCGUGAGAUGUUGGGUUAAGUCCCGCAACGAGCGCAACCCUUGUCUUUAAUUGCCAUCAUUUAGUUGGGCACUUUAAAGAGACUGCCGGUGUCAAACCGGAGGAAGUGGGAUGACGUCAAGUCCUCAUGGCCUUUAUGUCCAGGGCUACACACGUGCUACAAUGGGUGGUACAAAGAGCAGCAAGCUCGCGAGAGCAAGCAAAUCUCAAAAAACCAUCCUCAGUUCGGAUUGGAGUCUGCAACUCGACUCCAUGAAGUCGGAAUCGCUAGUAAUCGUGGAUCAGAAUGUCACGGUGAAUACGUUCCCGGGUCUU